rnacentral:rRNA from 1 species
GAAUGCUGACAUAAGUAACGAUAAAGCGGGUGAAAAGCCCGCUCGCCGGAAGACCAAGGGUUCCUGUCCAACGUUAAUCGGGGCAGGGUGAGUCGACCCCUAAGGCGAGGCCGAAAGGCGUAGUCGAUGGGAAACGGGUUAAUAUUCCCGUACUUGGUGUUACUGCGAAGGGGGGACGGAGAAGGCUAUGUUGGCCGGGCGACGGUUGUCCCGGUUUAAGCGUGUAGGUGUGUGUUCCAGGUAAAUCCGGUUCACUUUAACACUGAGGCGUGAUGACGAGGCACUACGGUGCUGAAGUAACAAAUGCCCUGCUUCCAGGAAAAGCCUCUAAGCAUCAGGUAACAUCAAAUCGUACCCCAAACCGACACAGGUGGUCAGGUAGAGAAUACCAAGGCGCUUGAGAGAACUCGGGUGAAGGAACUAGGCAAAAUGGUGCCGUAACUUCGGGAGAAGGCACGCUGACACGUAGGUGAAGUGAUUUACUCACGGAGCUGAAGUCAGUCGAAGAUACCAGCUGGCUGCAACUGUUUAUUAAAAACACAGCACUGUGCAAACACGAAAGUGGACGUAUACGGUGUGACGCCUGCCCGGUGCCGGAAGGUUAAUUGAUGGGGUCAGCGCAAGCGAAGCUCCUGAUCGAAGCCCCGGUAAACGGCGGCCGUAACUAUAACGGUCCUAAGGUAGCGAAAUUCCUUGUCGGGUAAGUUCCGACCUGCACGAAUGGCGUAAUGAUGGCCAGGCUGUCUCCACCCGAGACUCAGUGAAAUUGAACUCGCUGUGAAGAUGCAGUGUACCCGCGGCAAGACGGAAAGACCCCGUGAACCUUUACUAUAGCUUGACACUGAACAUUGAGCCUUGAUGUGUAGGAUAGGUGGGAGGCUUUGAAGUGUGGACGCCAGUCUGCAUGGAGCCGACCUUGAAAUACCACCCUUUAAUGUUUGAUGUUCUAACGUGGACCCGUUACCCGGGUUGCGGACAGUGUCUGGUGGGUAGUUUGACUGGGGCGGUCUCCUCCUAAAGAGUAACGGAGGAGCACGAAGGUUGGCUAAUCCUGGUCGGACAUCAGGAGGUUAGUGCAAUGGCAUAAGCCAGCUUGACUGGGAGCGUGACGGCGCGAGCAGGUGCGAAAGCAGGUCAUAGUGAUCCGGUGGUUCUGAAUGGAAGGGCCAUCGCUCAACGGAUAAAAGGUACUCCGGGGAUAACAGGCUGAUACCGCCCAAGAGUUCAUAUCGACGGCGGUGUUUGGCACCUCGAUGUCGGCUCAUCACAUCCUGGGGCUGAAGUAGGUCCCAAGGGUAUGGCUGUUCGCCAUUUAAAGUGGUACGCGAGCUGGGUUUAGAACGUCGUGAGACAGUUCGGUCCCUAUCUGCCGUGGGCGCUGGAGAACUGAGGGGGGCUGCUCCUAGUACGAGAGGACCGGAGUGGACGCAUCACUGGUGUUCGGGUUGUCAUGCCAAUGGCACUGCCCGGUAGCUAAAUGCGGAAGAGAUAAGUGCUGAAAGCAUCUAAGCACGAAACUUGCCCCGAGAUGAGUUCUCCCUGAGACUUUAGGUCUCCUGAAGGAACGUUGAAGACGACGACGUUGAUAGGCCGGGUGUGUAAGCGCAGCGAUGCGUUGAGCUAACCGGUACUAAUGAACCGUGAGGCUUAACCUU